ensembl:snoRNA SNORA70 Small nucleolar RNA SNORA70
CUGCAGCCAAUCCAGCCGACUGUGCUCUUUUCCCCAUGGGGACCCGGUGCGCACUGGCUGCAAACAGCAGCCUCCUCGGUAGUGCAUGCAGCCUGUUGCCUGUAUAGGUUGCCCUAAGGGACCUUGGAGACAGCC